rnacentral:lncRNA from 7 species
AUUAUGAAACUGCAUGAACAAUUAAUGGCUGAAAGCAAAUGCCAGCAGCCACAAAGACUUGUUUCACAAAAUCGAGACCUGCUAAGAAUUUUUAUUUUGAAUGUAACAACUGCAGUUUCUCCAAAGAUCACUGUUGGACUGUGCUGCUAAUUCAUCACCAUAAUGCUGUUCCAAUGAAACAAAACAGAGCACGUUCCCACAGAACCGGUAAAAAUGCUUGGAAAAAUACUCCUUGCAGGAGGGAUGCUGACAGCAGCCAAAAACGAUUUGGCACAGCUCAGGAGAAGCGCCCAGGUGACAGCCUCCUCUACCACUGAGCUGAGGCCAGCUUGGUCUGCACCACCUGCCAGCAGACUCAACAGCACCAGGACAGCAAGCCCCUUCUUGUCUUGGGAUUCAUCUGGACUGGAAGGGUACUGAGAAGAUCUGAAAUCAACCUUAUGCCUCAUGCUGGAAGAAUGAUUUAGCUUAGGAUCUGCUUCUAUUUGGAUUCUUUCACUGUUAUAUCUUAUAACGGCUCUCGUAGAAAUAGGAUUUAAAACUCCGGAAACUUGAGCUCAUGGAUUCCAUGCCUUCUCCUUCUCAUCAGUAGUAACUGAAAAUUUUCUUCUCUGCUUCAAAAAAGACUCAUUUUAUAUGUAAGGUCAGUCCAAGUGUUUUUCAGCGCCAUAUGUAUCCUCCAAUGACCUAGAAGAUCCCAAACAUAUUAAUUGUGUUGCUUCUGCAACUCUCAAAGAAUAGUAGAGGAGGGACUUACCGGCUGGAGAGUGCUGGUGAUGUGCAUGACGAUGUGAACAUAGCUCCCAUUCCUACACGGAAGUUUUAAUAAUGCUUUCACUUUCUCUUAAGAUUAUCAAAACUGGAGCCUGAUCCCUUGUGAUCCCUGUGUUAAUUGUGCUGUUUAUGAUAAUAACCUUCUUGAUUAUUUUGGAUGAUUUGAGUACUGAGACUUUUCUCAUACAUAUGUGAGUGCUUCUGCAUGUUUUAAGAUAUGAAAAUUGCUCUGGUGUAUUCCUGUUAAAUUGCAUGGUAAUAACUAUAACAAUAUCCCACAUAAAUUAUGACUUUGGAGAC